GUGUCUCAAGUGUGCAGGCCAACCUUUCAGCAAAAAGAGAAGGCUAUAGGACAGUGGAAAAAACCAAAAUCCAGAUACUUACGAAUACAGCCAGGUCAGGGAACAGAUACUUUAUUUUUCAAAGUUUGUAAGUACAGUUUAUAAUUUUCACAUUUUCCUGAUUCAUUUACAAAAUUCGUAUUACAACUUUAGAAAGCAUCAGUUCAAUAACUGGGAUUAUUUACAAUUCACAGACCCGACAAGUUAAUUUACAAAUAUUUUAUUAAACCAACUUCAAACUUGUUGCGCUAAAGCGCAUUCGAGGAAUAAAUGAAUCGUGGUCUGUCUUGCCCCGCACAAUAAGCACUUUGCAUCCCGACCGUGAAGGUUUAAUAUCCUUUGUAAUUAACUUAAUAAUCUCGAAGUUUGACUGAGGAUUCCUAAAAAGAUCUGCAUAAAACCCUCUAAAUUCUUCCAAAAUUUCAUCAGUAUUAUUACAUAGACUCGAUCCAGCCUUUCUUGCACAUUACUCCCGGACCAUGUAAAGCCAGGAUAACACGGAUACUUAAAACGUUACUUGAGGAGGUGCAUACAUAUUGACCACCCUAAUUAAAUUACCACUCACCUGGAUAUCCACAGUAAGUAUUCUUCCCUCACGGUCGGUUUUAAAGUCACAAACUUUUACUUUCUUUUUAACUAAUGUCAAUACACUAGUGCUCCUUCGAUUUGAAAACGAGGCAUAAAUAUUAUAUCCAACAUAGAUUU